GAUUGAGUGGGCUCAGGCCAACAUUGAAUAAAAGUAGCUCCUUCAGAAGGUCGGGGAGGAGAGGAGCUGGAUAAGUCUUAAGUUUGUUGGAGGCUUCAAGGUCAUCCUUUCCCAGGCUAGAAGCCCGACAGACGGAGUCCCUCAGGGAGCCCCAGGGGGGCAACCCCAGCAUCAGGGUCAGGCAUCGGACAUAGAAGUACC
rnacentral:lncRNA from 1 species